CCCAGACUCCUACGGGAGGCAGCAGUGGGGGAUAUUGCACAAUGGGGGGAACCCUGAUGCAGCGACGCCGCGUGGGUGAAGGAGUAUUUCGGUAUGUAAAGCCCUAUCAGCAGGGAAGAACAAUGACGGUACCUGACUAAGAAGCACCGGCUAAAUACGUGCCAGCAGCCGCGGUAAUACGUAUGGUGCAAGCGUUAUCCGGAUUUACUGGGUGUAAAGGGGGCGCAGACGGCAGCGCAAGCCAGGAGUGAAAGCCCGGGGCCCAACCCCGGGACUGCUCUUGGAACUGCGCGGCUGGAGUGCAGGAGGGGCAGGCGGAAUUCCUGGUGUAGCGGUGAAAUGCGUAGAUAUCAGGAGGAACACCGGUGGCGAAGGCGGCCUGCUGGACUGCGACUGACGUUGAGGCCCGAAAGCGUGGGGAGCAAACAGGAUUAGAUACCCUCGUAGG
rnacentral:rRNA from 1 species